GCUCUGGUAGCCUAGUGGUUAGAGAGUUCGCCUCGGAUGUAGAAGGUCGCGCGUUCGAACCUCGGCUUGGUCA